ACGUUAAUUGAUUCUAAUGAAUAUAUGUUAAUUAAAUAAUAAUAAAUAAUAGAUAAGGAUAAUCAUUGUUAACAACGAUCUGAUAUUAUAUUAUUAUGACUGUCUGUACCUCGACCAGGUUUUCUGCGGUUUCCCUAGCCGGCCGCAGCCGCAAAUAAUAAGUGUUAUAUAUAAAUAAGUUUAUAUAAGUACAUGUAAGAUAGUAUAUUACGCACUAUGUAUAAGGGUAGUUCUAGCAAUAGUAUAGGUGUAUACGUGUAACCAUAGUGGGGGAACGUGAAGCUGAGCAGUCAGAGUUGAGACUUUGUGACUUCACUUCUCCCCGAGAGCUGUAACUAUUCACUCCAUCUCUCCGAUUUCUAAAUAAACAUCAACAUUAAGUUCAA